rnacentral:tRNA from 1 species
GGGGCUGUAGUUCAGUGAUAGAGCGCUUGCCUACCAUGCAUGAGGCACUGGAUUCGAUCCUCAGCACCA